CAAGCGUCUGGCGUAAGGAGGCAGCUCCACUGAUGAGUCUAGGCGCAGUGACUCCGAGACGAAACGCAUC
rnacentral:hammerhead_ribozyme from 17 species